UACAGAGGGGGCAAGCGUUAUUCGGAAUUAUUGGGCGUAAAGGGUGCGUAGGCGGGUUCUUAAGUCAGAGGUGAAAUCCUGGAGCUCAACUCCAGAACUGCCUUUGAUACUGAGAGUCUUGAGUUCGGGAGAGGUGAGUGGAACUGCGAGUGUAGAGGUGAAAUUCGUAGAUAUUCGCAAGAACACCAGUGGCGAAGGCGGCUCACUGGCCCGAUACUGACGCUGAGGCACGAAAGCGUGGGGAGCAAACAGGG
rnacentral:rRNA from 1 species